AAUAGACAUGGGCGAAGCCUGACCGCAAUGCCGCGUGCAGGAAGAAGGCCUUCGGGUUGUAAACUGCUUUUGUACGGAACGAAACGGUCCUUUCUAAUAAAGAGGGCUAAUGACGGUACCGUAAGAAUAAGCACCGGCUAACUACGUGCCAGCAGCCGCGGUAAUACGUAGGGUGCGAGCGUUAAUCGGAAUUACUGGUCGUAAAGCGUGCGCAGGCGGUUCUAUAAGACAGAUGUGAAAUCCCCGGGCUCAACCUGGGAAUGGCAUUUGUGACUGUAGAGCUAGAGUACGGUAGAGGGGGAUGGAAUUCCGCGUGUAGCAGUGAGGGGCGUGGAUAUGCGGAGGAACACCUAUGGCGAAGGCAAUCCCCUGGACCUGUACUGACGCUCAUGCACGAAAG
rnacentral:rRNA from 1 species